GUGAGUCAUCGAAUCUUUGAACGCACAUUGCGCCCCGUGGCAUUCCGCGGAGCAUGCCUGUUCGAGCGUCAUUUCAACCCUCAAGCUCUGCUUGGUAUCGGGCACCACCUCUUUUAGUGGGCCUCAGAGUUAGUGGCAGUGCUAUCAGGCUCUAAGCGUAGUAAUCUUCCUCGCUAUAGGUGUCUGAUGGUAUCUAGCUAUCCCUCUAAUUUUCUAUGGUUGACCUCGGAUCAGGUAGGAAUACCCGCUGAACUUAAGCAUAUCAAUAAGCGGAGGA
rnacentral:misc_RNA from 1 species